CGCACCUUGCGCCCUUUGGUAUUCCGAAGGGCAUGCCUGUUUGAGUGUCAUGACAACCUCAUCUAUUCAUUUAGAUGGAUAUGGCUGCUGCGAGUUCUCUCGCUCGGCUUAAAAGUCUUAGUAACUAAACGAGUGUAAUAAGUUUCACUCUUGUGUUGCUAAUAACCCUGCUUCGGCAACAUUUUUGCUUCGACCUCAAAUCAGGUAGGACUACCCGCUGAACUUAA
rnacentral:misc_RNA from 1 species